GAUGAACGCUGGCGGCAUGCCUAAUACAUGCAAGUCGAACGAGAGGAAGGAAAGCUUGCUUUUCUGAAUCUAGUGGCGAACGGGUGAGUAACACGUAGGUAACCUGCCCAUGUGCCCGGGAUAACUUCUGGAAACGGAUGCUAAAACCGGAUAGGUAGCAGACAAGCAUUUGACUGCUAUUAAAGUGGCUAAGGCCAUGAACAUGGAUGGACCUGCGGUGCAUUAGCUAGUUGGUGAGGUAACGGCCCACCAAGGCGACGAUGCAUAGCCGGCCUGAGAGGGCGGACGGCCACAUUGGGACUGAGACACGGCCCAAACUCCUACGGGAGGAAGCAGUAGGGAAUUUUCGUCAAUGGGGGGAACCCUGAACGAGCAAUGCCGCGUGAGUGAGGAAGGUCUUCGGAUCGUAAAGCUCUGUUGUAAGAGAAAAACGACAUUCAUAGGGAAUGAUGAGUGAGUGAUGGUAUCUUACCAGAAAGUCACGGCUAACUACGUGCCAGCAGCCGCGGUAACAC
rnacentral:rRNA from 1 species